GCCAGGCAUGGUGGCUCAUGCCUGUAAUCCCAGCACUUUGGGAGGCUGAGGCAGGAGGAUUACUUGAGGUCAGGAGUUCGAGACCAGCCUGACCAACAUGGAGAAACCCAGUCUCUACUAAAAAUACAAAAUUAGCUGGGCAUGGUGGCACAUGCCUGUAAUCCCAGCUACUUGGGAGGCUGAGGCAGGAGAAUCGCUUGAACCCAGGAGGUGGAGGUUGUGGUGAGCUGAGAUUGUGCCACUGUAAUCCAGCCUGGGCAACAGAGUGAAACUCUGUCUCA
ensembl:misc_RNA Metazoa_SRP Metazoan signal recognition particle RNA